UACGUAGGGCGCAAGCGUUGUCCGGAAUUAUUGGGCGUAAAGAGCUCGUAGGCGGUUUGUCGCGUCGAAUGUGAAAACCCGGGGCUCAACUCCGGGCCUGCAUUCGAUACGGGCAGACUAGAGUUCGGUAGGGGAGACUGGAAUUCCUGGUGUAGCGGUGAAAUGCGCAGAUAUCAGGAGGAACACCGGUGGCGAAGGCGGGUCUCUGGGCCGAUACUGACGCUGAGGAGCGAAAGCGUGGGGAGCGAACAGG
rnacentral:rRNA from 1 species